rnacentral:rRNA from 1 species
GAUGAACGCAGGCGGCGUGCCUAAUACAUGCAAGUCGAGCGAACGGACGAGAAGCUUGCUUCUCUGAUGUUAGCGGCGGACGGGUGAGUAACACGUGGAUAACCUACCUAUAAGACUGGGAUAACUUCGGGAAACCGUAGCUAAUACCGGAUAAUAUUUUGAACCGCAUGGUUCAAAAGUGAAAGACGGUCUUGCUGUCACUUAUAGAUGGAUCCGCGCUGCAUUAGCUAGUUGGUAAGGUAACGGCUUACCAAGGCAACGAUGCAUAGCCGACCUGAGAGGGUGAUCGGCCACACUGGAACUGAGACACGGUCCAGACUCCUACGGGAGGCAGCAGUAGGGAAUCUUCCGCAAAGGGCGAAAGCCUGACGGAGCAACGACGCGUGAGUGAUGAAGGUCUUCGGAUCGUAAAACUCUGUUAUUAGGGAAGAACAUAUGUGUAAGUAACUGUGCACAUCUUGACGGUACCUAAUCAGAAAGCCACGGCUAACUACGUG